GGAGUCUGGGCCGUGUCUCAGUCCCAAUGUGGCUGAUCAUCCUCUCAGACCAGCUAGAGAUCGUCGCCUAGGUGAGCCUUUACCUCACCUACUAGCUAAUCCCGUUUGGGCACAUCUGAUAGCGCAUUGCUGCUUUCACCCUCAGGCUUUAUGCGGUAUUAGCAGUCGUUUCCAACUGUUGUCCCCCUCUAUCAGGUAGUUUCCCUAAACUAGUUA
rnacentral:rRNA from 1 species